AUGUGUAAAAACAUACACAAGAAACAUUGAUUUCUUAAAGGGACACGUUUUGAUAGAUUACUCUCGAGUUAGCUACUACAGAAAAUGUGGUACUAAUCCAGGAGUCGUUUAAAGAAAGGGAAGCGUUCAGCAAUAACAGGUCUGUGAUGCCCUUAGACAUCUUGGGCCGCACGCGCGCUACAAUGGAAAAGGAAAAGAGUACAGUUGGAAGAUUAUUUUUAUUGGGACGUUGUUUCAAUAAGAAUGAUACUAUUUGGCUGACCAAUAUUGAAAAGUGGAGGGAAACUCAAAUCUUUGCACAUGACUGGGAUAGACGAUUGGAAUUAUUUGUCUUGAACGAGGAAUUCCUUGUAAUAUCAUGUCACUAGCAUGAGAUGAAUACGUCCCUGCCCUUUGUACACACCGCCCGUCGCUCCUACC
rnacentral:rRNA from 1 species